rnacentral:rRNA from 1 species
GACGAACGCUGGCGGCGUGCUUAACACAUGCAAGUCGAACGCUGAAGCUUGGUGCUUGCACUGGGUGGAUGGGUGGCGAACGGGUGAGUAAUACGUGAGUAACCUGCCCUUGACUCUGGGAUAAGCCUGGGAAACUGGGUCUAAUACUGGAUACGACAUGUCACCGCAUGGUGGUGUGUGGAAAGGGUUUUACUGGUUUUGGAUGGGCUCACGGCCUAUCAGCUUGUUGGUGGGGUAAUGGCUCACCAAGGCGACGACGGGUAGCCGGCCUGAGAGGGUGACCGGCCACAAUGGGACUGAGACACGGCCCAGACUCCUACGGGAGGCAGCAGUGGGGAAUAUUGCACAAUGGGCGGAAGCCUGAUGCAGCGACGCCGCGUGAGGGAUGACGGCCUUCGGGUUGUAAACCUCUUUCAGCAAGGAAGAAGCGAAAGUGACGGUACGUGCAGAAGAAGCGCCGGCUAACUACGUG